GGCGCUAUAGUGUAGUGGUUAUCACUCGGGAUUUUGACUGUGGUCUGGAAUUCCCGAAACCCAGGUUCGAACCCUGGUAGCGCCU
rnacentral:tRNA from 1 species